AGGGCCGGCUGGCUCUGGCUCGGAGCUGAGCAGUGUCCCCUUGCAGGGAGCUGGAGAGGACACUAUCUGCCCCCCACCCACGCCCCCGCCCUCCCAGCUCCAGGGGUGGCGCAAGGCCCCCCCACCCCCACAGCUGGCCCAGCCUCGGGGGUCCCCGGGGGGGGGGCCGUGGCCACCAGGAUGUUAUGCGCACAGCCUGUGGAUGACAGUGCGUGCUGAAAGCUCAGUGGGUGCCACGCUCUUCCACAAGCCUACAAACCACCACCGCAGCUGAGAUGGGCUCAGCUCCUGGACUUGCCACAGACAGUAAACAUAACAGACGCUCGCCCCGGAGAGUCUCUGGCUGAUCCACAGCGGCUCAGAGCACUGGGCAGAAGGCGGCCAGCCAGCCGGGGGCAGGAGAUGCAGAGCACUGUCAAUUACCUAUGGCACACCGACGACCUGCUGGGGCAGGGGGCCACCGCCAGUGUGUACAAGGCCCGAAACAAGAAAUCCGGGGAGCUGGUUGCCGUGAAGGUCUUCAACACCGCCAGCUACCUGCGACCCCGCGAGGUGCAGGUGAGGGAGUUUGAUGUCCUGCGAAAGCUGAACCACCAGAACAUCGUCAAGCUCUUUGCGGUGGAGGAGACGGUGGGUCCAGUGCUUGGUCAGAGGGAGGUGGUCUUGUCCUUGACCCACACAGGCUGGAAAGACUCAGGUCACAGAAUCAUGGAGACGUGGUCACAUGCUUGUCAGCAGGGGGGCAGCCGGCAGAAGGUGCUGGUGAUGGAGUACUGCUCCGGCGGGAGCCUGCUGAGCGUGCUCGAAAGCCCCGAGAACGCCUUCGGGCUGCCGGAGGAUGAGUUUCUGGUGGUGCUGCGCUGUGUGGUGGCCGGCAUGAACCACCUGCGGGAAAACAGCAUUGUCCACCGUGACAUCAAGCCUGGAAACAUCAUGCGCCUCAUGGGGGAGGAGGGGCAGAGCAUCUAUAAGCUGACGGACUUCGGGGCCGCCCGGGAGCUGGAUGACGAUGAGAAGUUUGUCUCUGUCUAUGGCACUGAGGAGUACCUGCACCCUGACAUGUAUGAACGGGCAGUGCUUCGCAAGCCCCAGCAGAAGACAUUUGGGGUGACCGUGGAUCUCUGGAGCAUUGGGGUAACCCUGUACCACGCAGCCACCGGCAGCCUGCCCUUCGUCCCCUUCGGUGGACCACGGCGCAACAAGGAGAUGAUGUACCGGAUCACCACGGAGAAGCCGGCCGGGGCCAUCGCAGGCACUCAGAGGCGGGAGAACGGGCCCCUGGAGUGGAGUUACACCCUCCCCAUCACCUGCCGGCUGUCCAUGGGGCUGCAGAGCCAGCUGGUGCCCAUCCUGGCCAACAUCCUGGAGGUGGAGCAGGCCAAGUGCUGGGGCUUCGACCAGUUCUUUGCGGAGACCAGCGACAUCCUGCAGCGAGUUGUUGUCCAUGUCUUCUCCCUGUCCCAGGCGGUCCUGCACCACGUCUACAUCCACGCCCACAACACGGUAGCCAUCUUUCUGGAAGCCGUGUACAAGCAGACCAGUGUGGCCCCCCAGCAUCAGGAGUACCUCUUUGAGGGUCACGUCUGUGUCCUUGAGCCCAGCCUCUCAGCGCAGCACAUCGCCCACACGACAGCAAGCAGCCCCCUGACCCUAUUCAGCAUGGCCAGCGAGACCCCCAAGGGGCUGGCCUUCAGGGACCCCGCUCAGGACAUCCCCAAGUUCUUCCCCAAAGUGGAUCUGCAGGCAGAUUACAGCACUGCCAAGAGCGUGUUGGGCGCUGGCUACCAGGCCCUGUGGCUGGCGCGGGCCCUGCUGGCCGGGCAGGAACUAAUGCUUCGGGGGCUGUACUGGUUUGUGGAGAUGCUCCAGGCCACAUGCAGGCGGACGCUGGAGGUCACGCGGAUGGCCCUGCUGUUCCUCAGCAGCAGCCUGGGCACCGAGAGGUUCAGCAGUGUGGCUGGGAUGCCUGAAAUGCAGGAACUGAAGAGAGUCACAGAGCUGAGGUCCAAGCUGCGGGCUUUGGCUGAGGCCCUCUCCAGAUAUGCCCACGAUAUCACAGAGACCCAGAUGAGCCUAAGCAACCUGAGCUCUGAGCUGAUGAAGAACCGGGAUCAGGUACAUGCGGACAGAAGCAUCCAGCAGAUUCAGUGCUGUUUGGACAAGAUGAACCUCAUCUACAAACAGUUCAAGAAAUCCAGAAUGAGGCCAGGCCUCGGCUACAACGAGGAGCAGAUUCACAAGCUGGAUAAGGUGAAUUUCGGUCAUUUAGCCAAAAGGCUCCUGCAGGUAUUCCAGGAGAAGUGCGUGCAGAAGUACCAGACGUCUCUAGUCACGCACGGCAAGUGGAUGAGGGAGGUGCACGAGACCAGGAUCCACUUGCGUAUGGUCAGCUGUUCUGUGGCUGCCUUUAACACAGAAGCCCAGGGAGCCCAGGAGAGCCUCAGCAAGAUCCUUGACCAGUUAUCUCACCAGCUCCUUCAGGACAGAACAAUGGGGGCUCAGGUCUCAGCACCCCCCACAGCUCCCCACCCCAGCCCUGCACUGACAGACCUGGUUCUGCACAUGCAGGAGCUCUGCGAGGAGGUGAAGCUGCUGGCCUUCGACCUUCAGGACAACAACCGCAUCAUUGAAGGGUUAAGUAGGCCCCCGUCGGCCCCUGACUCCUGAGGUCCGAGCUCCAUGGGGUGCACGACAUCCUGAAGCAUUAGAAUCAUUCAAAGCCCACUCUCCUGCCUGCAGUGCGGGACCUAACACAGGAUGAUGUCUGGUCCCAUCUCAUCAGCCUACCUCUCUCCCGGCCAACAGCUGGGAGAUGUCACCAGCAUUACCUUCCACUGCCUCUCUGCCGGAAGCAGCACAGUAGGACCUGGGGUGCCAGGCCAUCUCCAUCAGGCCCCACUGCCUGGGCUGAACUUUGUGUCUCUCUGACACAGGCUCAGAUCACCCCAGAAAUCUUUCCUGCCCGUCUUCACGAAACCUCCAUGUCCUCAGAGGCUACCCUGCCUAAUGACCCAGCAGGGCAGAAGUGAGGAGACCUGGGUCCUGCAUUCUGAUACCGUCCAUGCUGCUUCUCUAUGGAAAAGACCAGCACCCUCUAAAGACCCAGGGGAGGGGCACCGAGGGGCUGCUUGCCUCAGGCCUAAGUGGCUUCACGUAUGCCAUUCGGGGGGGUGGCGUCCAUGGGGUCAUCUAUACCCAAUGGGCUCAGAGUCUGGGGCCCCUGGAACCAGCUGCUGCCUCUCCACGGCCCUGGGCCCUGGGCACGCCUGGUCUGCUCUGCCUGCGUGAAGUUCAGGCUGACACUUCUGGCUCAUCAACGGCCUUGUAGGGAAGUCCCAGCAUGGAUUUUCCCUGGCAGCUGUGGCUGCCUCUGGAUCACAUAUGCUUGGUGGAGCUCAGCAGAAGAGCCAGGGGAUCCCUGAAAGCCAAGUGUGGAUUUUUGAGACAUGAUAUGAUCCAGGCUCUGUGAUCUCAUGAGCAGAGCCCAGCAGAGGACAUGCUCAAAGGCUCCAGUCUGUUCCUGUGCUGGGACGUGGACGCCUCCCCUGAUUUAAAAUCCUGCAGAACUUCUGAUUCUGUGCGAGGAACUGGACCAAGGCCCAGAUUCAGAAUGGUGUAAGAUCCUCAGGUGUCUGAAGACCUCUUAAACUCCCCUUUCUGUCCUCUGUAGUGAUUCCUAACACGACACUUAAAAUGAGCCCACUCGGUUCCUCAGGCAUGAACCGAACACCCCGUACUGUGCCAGGCCCGGUUAUGGGUACCAAAACCACACA